GCUCCCAUAGUUAAAUGGAUAUAACAGCCCCCUCCUAAGGGGCAGUUGUAGGUUCGAUUCCUACUGGGAGUG
rfam:Clostridium sp. CAG:253 genomic scaffold, scf149